rnacentral:rRNA from 1 species
AGUGGACGUUACUCGCAGAAUAAGCACCGGCUAACUCUGUGCCAGCAGCCGCGGUAAUACAGAGGGUGCAAGCGUUAAUCGGAUUUACUGGGCGUAAAGCGCGCGUAGGCGGCCAAUUAAGUCAAAUGUGAAAUCCCCGAGCUUAACUUGGGAAUUGCAUUCGAUACUGUUUGGCUAGAGUGUGGGAGAGGAUGGUAGAAUUCCAGGUGUAGCGGUGAAAUGCGUAGAGAUCUGGAGGAAUACCGAUGGCGAAGGCAGCCAUCUGGCCUAACACUGACGCUGAGGUGCGAAAGCAUGGGGAGCAAACAGGAUUAGAUACCCUGGUAGUCCAUGCCGUAAACGAUGUCUACUAGCCGUUGGGGCCUUUGAGGCUUUAGUGGCGCAGCUAACGCGAUAAGUAGACCGCCUGGGGAGUACGGUCGCAAGACUAAAACUCAAAUGAAUUGACGGGGGCCCGCACAAGCGGUGGAGCAUGUGGUUUAAUUCGAUGCAACGCGAAGAACCUUACCUGGCCUUGACAUAGUAGAAACUUUCCAGAGAUGGAUUGGUGCCUUCGGGAAUCUACAUACAGGUGCUGCAUGGCUGUCGUCAGCUCGUGUCGUGAGAUGUUGGGUUAAGUCCCGCAACGAGCGCAACCCUUUUCCUUA